GAUCAUUACCGAGUUUACAACUCCCAACCCCAAUGUGAACGUUACCAAACUGUUGCCUCGGCGGGAUUUCUGCCCCGGGCGCGUCGCAGCCCCGGACCAAGGCGCCCGCCGGAGGACCAAACCUUACAAACUCUUUUGUAUGUCCCUCUGCGGACUCUUUACAUUUCUGAGCUUUCUCGGCGCUCCUAGCGAGCGUUUCGAAAAUGAAUCAAAACUUUCAACAACGGAUCUCUUGGUUCUGGCAUCGAUGAAGAACGCAGCGAAAUGCGAUAAGUAAUGUGAAUUGCAGAAUUCAGUGAAUCAUCGAAUCUUUGAACGCACAUUGCGCCCGCCAGUAUUCUGGCGGGCAUGCCUGUCCGAGCGUCAUUUCAACCCUCGAACCCCUCCGGGGGGUCGGCGUUGGGGAUCGGCCUUCUACCGGCCGGCCCCGAAAUACAGUGGCGGUCUCGCCGCAGCCUCUCCUGCGCAGUAGUUUGCACACUCGCACCGGGAGCGCGGCGCGUCCACGUCCGUAAAACACCCAACUUUCUGAAAUGUUGACCUCGGAUCAGGUAGGAAUACCCGCUGAACUUAAGCAUAUCA
rnacentral:rRNA from 1 species